rnacentral:rRNA from 1 species
UACGUAGGUGGCAAGCGUUGUCCGGAAUUAUUGGGCGUAAAGCGCGCGCAGGCGGUUCUUUAAGUCUGAUGUGAAAGCCCACGGCUCAACCGUGGAGGGUCAUUGGAAACUGGGGGACUUGAGUGCAGAAGAGGAGAGCGGAAUUCCACGUGUAGCGGUGAAAUGCGUAGAGAUGUGGAGGAACACCAGUGGCGAAGGCGGCUUUCUGGUCUGUAACUGACGCUGAGGCGCGAAAGCGCGGGGAGCAAACAGG